UGAGCAUGCGUCCCAUUAGUUAGUUGGUAAGGUAACGGCUUACCAAGACAAUUGAUGGGUAGGGUCCUGAGAGGAGAUCCCCCANACUGGUACUGAGACACGGACCAGACUCCUACGGGAGCAGCAGUGAGGAAUAUUGGUCAAUGGGCGCAAGCCUGAACCAGCCAUGCCGCGUGCAGGAAGACGGUCCUAUGGAUUGUAAACUGCUUUUACACAGGAAGAAACCCUCCCACGUGUGGGAGCUUGACGGUACUGUAGGAAUAAGGAUCGGCUAACUCCGUG
rnacentral:rRNA from 1 species